UCUUCCAGGCGACUGACGCAUUG
rnacentral:misc_RNA from 1 species